rnacentral:rRNA from 1 species
CUUACCAGGUCCAGACACAGUUAGGAUUGACAGAUUGAAAGCUCUUUCUUGAUUCUGUGGGUGGUGGUGCAUGGCCGUUCUUAGUUGGUGGAGUGAUUUGUCUGGUUAAUUCCGAUAACGAACGAGACCUCAGCCUAUUAAUUAAAUAAAAAAAUAUAAGCAAUUAUAAGGGUUAAAUAAAAUUUAAUUUAAUAUUAUUUUUUAGUAUUAAAUUAUUUUAUUUAAAACUUGUUUAUAUUUAUUUUUAUUUUCUUAAAGGGACACUUGGUGUUUAACCAAGGGAAGUUUGAGGCAAUAACAGGUCUGUGAUGCCCUUUAGAUGUUCUGGGCCGCACGCGCGCUACACUGAUAAAAUCAAUAAGUUUUUUAAUUUAAUUCCUUGACUGAAAAGUUUGGGUAAACUUUGAAAAUUUUAUCGUGCUGGGGAUUGACAAUUGUAAUUAUUUGUCAUGAACGAGGAAUUCCUAGUAAACGUAAGUCAUCAGCUUACGUUGAUUACGUCCCUGCCCUUUGUACACACCGCCGUC